UAGGGAAUCUUCGGCAAUGGACGAAAGUCUGACCGAGCAACGCCGCGUGAGUGAAGAAGGUUUUCGGAUCGUAAAACUCUGUUGUUAGAGAAGAACAAGGACGUUAGUAACUGAACGUCCCCUGACGGUAUCUAACCAGAAAGCCACGGCUAACUACGUGCCAGCAGCCGCGGUAAUACGUAGGUGGCAAGCGUUGUCCGGAUUUAUUGGGCGUAAAGCGAGCGCAGGCGGUUUCUUAAGUCUGAUGUGAAAGCCCCCGGCUCAACCGGGGAGGGUCAUUGGAAACUGGGAGACUUGAGUGCAGAAGAGGAGAGUGGAAUUCCAUGUGUAGCGUUGAAAUGCGUAGAUAUAUGGAGGAACACCAGUGGCGAAGGCGGCUCGCUGGUCUGUAACUGACGCUGAGGCUCGAAAGCGUAGGGAGCAAACAGG
rnacentral:rRNA from 1 species